CACAGUUUAAGCUUGCAAAUUAGAUGAAGAGAGAGAAAGAGAGAGAAGGUGGCCCACACAGGGAUCUUGCCACUUAGGCAUCCUUUCUACUUCUACCUGUGGCCUGGAGGAACAUUUCUUACAAUACAAAAGAAGGCUCCUCCAAAUUCCAUCUUUGGAUUUGCCCUUUGAAUGCUGGAGCUAAGACUGCACCAUGUGGGUUCUCAUCAUGCCUGCUGCCAUUCAUUGGAUAACAAACCCGGAAUUCAAAUGAUAAUUGAGGUGGCUGCAUUAAAAUGUCACCAGCAGGCACACUUAAGGCACUUGCAGGUUCUGAAGUGAUAUCUGAUCCUUACAGUCCCAAUAUGUCUUGAGUAAAUAUCAGGGCUAAUAUCUAUUUUUAAAUUAAAAUUAUGCUGGUCCUUUGUGCAAUUUUUCCCAUAAGACAUAAAGAAAAUAAAAGAUAGUUUGAAUCAUA